rnacentral:rRNA from 1 species
GUGUCAGCCGCCGCGGUAAUACAGAGGGUGCGAGCGUUGUCCGGAAUCACUGGGCGUAAAGGGCGCGUAGGUGGCUCGUUAAGCGUGUGGUGAAAGCCUGGGGCUCAACCCCAGGUCUGCCGUGCGAACUGGCGAGCUUGAGCAGAGUAGAGGCGGGUGGAAUUUCGGGUGUAGCGGUGGAAUGCGUAGAUAUCCGAAAGAACACCGGUGGCGAAGGCGGCCCGCUGGGCUCUUGCUGACACUGAUGCGCGACAGCGUGGGGAGCAAACAGGAUUAGAAACCCCUGUAGUCC